rnacentral:rRNA from 1 species
AUUGAACGCUGGCGGCAGGCCUAACACAUGCAAGUCGAACGGAGUGGCGGACGGGUGAGUAAUGUCUGGGAAACUGCCCGAUGGAGGGGGAUAACUACUGGAAACGGUAGCUAAUACCGCAUACUGUGAGAUGGACCUGCGUUGUAUUAGCUAGUUGGUGAGGUAAAGGCUCACCAAGGCGACGAUACAUAGCCGACCUGAGAGGGUGAGCGGCCACACUGUGACUGAGACACGGCCCAGAAUCCUACGGGAGGCAGCAGUGGGGAAGUGUGGACAAUGGGGGAAACCCUGAUCCAGCCAUCCCGCGUGUGCGAUGAAGGCCUUCGGGUUGUAAAGCACUUUUGGCAGGAAAGCGGUACCUGCAGAAUAAGCACCGGCUAACUACGUGCCAGCAGCCGCGGUAAUAC